rnacentral:rRNA from 1 species
CGCCUUUUGAUAAAUAAAUUUGAAAGGUCCUGCCUGCCCAGUGAUAAUUAUUCAACGGCCGCGGUAUUAUGACCGUGCAAAGGUAGCAUAAUCACUUGUCUUCUAAAUCAAGACCAGCAUGAACGGCAAAACGAAAGCCUAACUGUCUCCUUAAGUUAGUCAAUGAAAUUGAUCUUUUCGUGCAGAAGCGAGAAUAUAAAUACAAGACGAGAAGACCCUGUGGAGCUUUAAAAUAAUAUUAUAUAAACACCUUAUAAUAAUAUAAAUUUUUAGGUUGGGGCGACCAUGAGGUAAAGUAAAACCCUCAAGAAAAUAAUUAGAAGGACACUUCAAACUAAAUAUAAUAUUUAUAUAUGACCCAAUAAUGAUCAACGAACCAAGUUACCCCAGGGAUAACAGCGCAAUCCAUUCCCAAAGUCCAUAUCGACGGAUGGGUUUACGACCUCGAUGUUGGAUCAGGACACCCCAAUGGUGCAACAACUAUUAAAGGUUCGUUUGUUCAACGAUUAAAGUCCU